CAACGCCGUAUUUGAUUUUGAAGGCUAUAUUUUCACUACAAUGGCAAUAAUCAGAUAAGUGAUAACUAAUAUCCACAUGAAUCAUGCUGUUGCUCCAUUUUGUUUAUAAAAUAACAGACAUAUCUCCAUACUUAAAAAAGUAACAUGAACUGGUUAAAUUCAAGCUCCCAUUGUUUUAUCUGUGCCAGUUAUCCUAUUUCAUUUAUAGUUCGGUUUGUAUUUGCAGUCAAAACAUACUGUUAUCACUCCAGACCUUCAGUUUCUCCGUCUUAUUACAAUUCUAUUCUAUUAUCGCGAUGUGUCUUUACUGCUACAGUUUUUUUGACAGUCAAAAAUUUCCUCUCGGUAUUUCUAACAGAAACGAGCAGUUUUAAUCAAUUUCUUACAUUAAUGCUACUAGUCCUUGAUACUUUUGCGGUUGCUUGCGUCCUCGUUAACGUAAAAUUGACUCAAAACUAUCAAAUCAUGCACUUUAACGGCAUCUUGUUGAUAAUCCAGAAGAGAGUUGAGCAGUUUAAUAAACACAUUGUCGAUGAAAUGUUUCAGGCAAAAAUCUACUCUAUACUUUUCAAAAACUGUAUUCCAUUUUUCCUCGUGUUUGCACUAAUCCUGGCUAUAAUUUUCUACAGUCGCGCAAAUUUCAAUGCAGAGACUAUAUUUGAAGCAUUGACAGUUUCGGUGAUUUUUCUUGUUAACAUGUCGCUUUUUGUAUCGGUUUUAUUUUGCUUAGAAAUAUAUGUACUUUUGUUUGGAAAGUGCUACAUUCAAGUGAAACAAAUUCUGGGGCACGACAAUUUAAAAAGUCUGGCUAAACAUAUUCAACACGUGCAAGUUUUCCACCACUGUGUAUUUUUAAAUUUUCGGCUGAUUUGUCGUAUUUUUAAAGUGCACGUAAUUUUGUUUAUGUUUUGUGGGUGUCUUAUUUUGGUCGGAAACUUUUACCUCUUUGUAAGCUACAUUCAAGAGUGCAAGUCUUACACUAAUGAAGAGUUGGUUCGAUUUGUUCUGUGUUUCUUUGGAGUUUUUGGAAGUAUAAAAGUGCUUUUCAAACUGCGGGAGCUCCAUGUCUUGAGUCAAGAUAUAUUGUCGUUCCUGUUUAAAUGUCCAAUCAGUAAAUUAAAUAAAUUGGAGUCAGCACAAGUUGAGAUGCUUAUUGCUACUUUGACGAUACAGAAACCGGAAGUCAAAGUUUCCGAUAUAUUCACUAUUGGUACGGGACUUCUUGCCUCGAUUUCAGGGGCUGUGCUCACCUAUGUCCUUGUAGCGCUACAGUUUCACGCCAUAUGGUCUACUAAAUAAACAAAUUAGUUGUAUUAUUAAAAUACUUGAAAUUUUGGUCGUAAUUAAAAUAUUAAAGCAAAAUGAAUUGCACAAAUCAGGCAAUAGAAUGAGGUGUUAUUUUUGUUAUCACUUGACUUGCGUUCCAUUUUUGAUUAACAUGAUUUUUGUAAGUGAAAUUAUUGCUUGAUUAUUUUUAAAUUUGGAGAUUACACGUGCGGAUACG